rnacentral:rRNA from 1 species
GACGAACGCUGGCGGCGUGCCUAAUACAUGCAAGUCGAGCGGACUUGACAGAGCUUGCUCUGUUCAAGUUAGCGGCGGACGGGUGAGUAACACGUGGGCAACCUGCCCUGCAGAUUGGGAUAACUCCGGGAAACCGGGGCUAAUACCGAAUAAUAUGGAAAACCUCAUGGUUUUCUUUUAAAAGGCGGCUUCGGCUGUCACUGCAGGAUGGGCCCGCGGCGCAUUAGCUAGUUGGUGAGGUAACGGCUCACCAAGGCGACGAUGCGUAGCCGACCUGAGAGGGUGAUCGGCCACACUGGGACUGAGACACGGCCCAGACUCCUACGGGAGGCAGCAGUAGGGAAUCUUCCGCAAUGGACGAAAGUCUGACGGAGCAACGCCGCGUGAGUGAAGAAGGUUUUCGGAUCGUAAAACUCUGUUGUUAGGGAAGAACAAGUAUCGGAGUAACUGCCGGUACCUUGACGGUACCUGACCAGAAAGCCACGGCUAACUACGUGCCAGCAGCCGCGGUAAAAC